UCUCAAUCUCUCUCUCUCUCUCUCUCUCUCUCUCUCUCUCUGUCUCUCCCAGCCCUUUAGAAUGGGUCUGUCUUGCAAAUUAAAAAGGAGUCACAUUCCUCCACUGUCACACCCGGUGGAGGCCAGGGCCUUGGGAAUUCCCGGCCUCAAGCCCUGUGCUUGGUGCACAGAAGUGCAAAGGGUCAGAGCGGCAGGUGAGGCGUAGUCAGAGCAGGAGAGGCACAGAUUCCCUUCCCACCGCAUCACCUGGGCCAGUUGGUCCUGAACUGCGCUCCUACGGCUGGACGCAGGACGUGCAUCCAUAAAACUGCUCUCUAGAUGUAGAAAAUGACGCUCGUCAUUGGCAACUCUCAGAAAUGUACUGAGGACGCAGACGUGGGCAAAUAAAUCCCUGUCUGCUUAGGAAAAUACAGUUGUGGUUAAAACAACCAACUUACCUGCCACAUGAACUUGGAGGCCCCGCAACCAGACGCUUCAGCAUACACACCUGAAUCCCCAGCUACAAACACACCUGUGUCCCUGUCUGCUGCUGCCUCCAGGAACCUGAAUGUGACGGGCUGCCACGGGUACCAAAACAAGCUAACCUUACAGCUGGGAGGGGCUUGGAGAAUCACUGAGAACCAUCAUCGGACUUUACGAAUAAGGAAACUUAGAAAUUUCCCUGUGUGGAGAACUGACCUACACAAGGUCACCCAGUGAAUAACUGGCAAGGUCCUAUGUGAGAUGGCAACUACAGCGAACAGGCAAGUUGGGGAGAUGAGAAAGG